rnacentral:rRNA from 1 species
AUACGUAGGGAGCAAGCGUUGUCCGGAAUUACUGGGCGUAAAGGGUGCGUAGGCGGUCUAUUAAGUCAGAUGUGAAAUACCAGAGCUCAACUCUGGGGCUGCAUUUGAAACUGGUAGACUUGAGUGCAGGAGAGGAGAGUGGAAUUCCUAGUGUAGCGGUGAAAUGCGUAGAUAUUAGGAGGAACACCAGUGGCGAAGGCGACUCUCUGGACUGUAACUGACGCUGAGGCACGAAAGCGUGGGGAGC